rnacentral:rRNA from 1 species
GCCGAUGCUUUAGAGAUAAAGACGGAGGUAUUCGGGGAGGACAGGUGGUGCAUGGUUGUCGUCAGCUCGUGUCGUGAGAUGUGGGUUAAGUCCCGCAACGAGCGCAACCCUAUUGCUAGUUACCAUCAUUAAGUUGGGGACUCUAGCGAGACUGCCAGUGAUAAACUGGAGGAAGGUGGGGAUGACGUCAAAUCAUCAUGCCCCUUAUGACCUGGGCUACAAACGUGAUACAAUGGCUGGAACAAAGGGAUGCGAAGCAGUGAUGUGGAGCGAAACCCAUAAAAACAGUCUCAGUUCGGAUUGAAGUCUGCAACUCGACUUCAUGAAGUCGGAAUCGCUAGUAAUCGCGGAUCAGAACGCCGCGGUGAAUACGUUCUCGGGGUUU